GAUGAACGCUGGCGGCGUGCCUAAUACAUGCAAGUCGAGCGAACAGAUAAGGAGCUUGCUCCUUUGACGUUAGCGGCGGACGGGUGAGUAACACGUGGGUAACCUACCUAUAAGACUGGGAUAACUUCGGGAAACCGGAGCUAAUACCGGAUAACAUUUGGAACCGCAUGGUUCUAUAGUGAAAGAUGGUUUUGCUAUCACUUAUAGAUGGACCCGCGCCGUAUUAGCUAGUUGGUAAGGUAACGGCUUACCAAGGCGACGAUACGUAGCCGACCUGAGAGGGUGAUCGGCCACACUGGAACUGAGACACGGUCCAGACUCCUACGGGAGGCAGCAGUAGGGAAUCUUCCGCAAUAGGCGAAAGCCUGACGGAGCAACGCCGCGUGAGUGAUGAAGGGUUUCGGAUCGUAAAACUCUGUUAUUAGGGAAGAACAAAUGUGUAAGUAACUGUGCACGUCUUGACGGUACCUAAUCAGAAAGCCACGGCUAACUACGUG
rnacentral:rRNA from 1 species